UUUCUGCACAGACUGUGAUCUCCCAUAUUGGCCUUCAGUUGGACUGAGAGAGAACGCUAUUUCCUUGGCAUCAGAGGCUCCUUUGGUACUAACUGUGCAUCACUGGUUCAUGAACGACUAGGACAUGCAAGAGGUGCAGCCCCAUCGCUACCAACAAAAUGAAGACUCCCAACCAACACAGCGCUUUUCAAUCAAGUUGUGUGUCUACUCAAGGCAGAUUGAAGAGAUUGUUUGGCUGAAAAAAUAGUUUCCCUAGUUUCAGUAGUUUGACGGAGAGAUGAGCAAGCUGGUCCUUGGAGGCUGUUCUCUGGAGUGUAACAAAUCAGAGAUAUCUUAUCACUGGUGACACUACUCAACAGCCAGAUCACAAGCCGCUGAGUGAGCCGCUGUUCAUGGUACAUCCAAAUUCUUGAUGAUGGGGUUCCAGUGCUUGUUGUUGAGGUGAUCGGACUUUGAUCUCUUGCUGCUGCCUGCUGGGUAAAAGGUGCGUAGGUCCAAUGUUGUU